GACGAACGCUGGCGGCGUGCUUAACACAUGCAAGUCGAACGGAAAGGCCCUGCUUUUGUGGGGUGCUCGAUUGGCGAACGGGUGAGUAACACGUGAGUAACCUGCCCUUGACUUUGGGAUAACUUCAGGAAACUGGGGCUAAUACCGGAUAGGAGCUCCUGCUGCAUGGUGGGGGUUGGAAAGUUUCGGCGGUUGGGGAUGGACUCGCGGCUUAUCAGCUUGUUGGUGGGGUAGUGGCUUACCAAGGCUUUGACGGGUAGCCGGCCUGAGAGGGUGACCGGCCACAUUGGGACUGAGAUACGGACCAGAAUGCUACGGGAGGCAGCAGUGGGGAAUAUUGCACAAUGGGCGGACGCCUGAUGCAGCAACGCCGCGUGCGGGAUGACGGCCUUCGAGUUGUAAACAGCUUUCGCCUGUGACGAAGCGUGAGUGACGGUAAUGGGUAAAGAAGCACCGGCUAACUACGUG
rnacentral:rRNA from 1 species